rnacentral:rRNA from 2 species
UAAGUAAGUGGUGGAAAUUAAACCAAAUGGGAUAUCUUUAGUAAUUGCGAAUGAACAAGGAUAUGCUUAGCUUGACAAAUGGAGCUAUUGGCUUUGAAUUGUAUUGUGGAAAUGUAUUACCAACAGAGGUGCAGGUGCCAGCCUAUUGAAAUAAAGCGUCAAUGAGGGUGAGAAUCCUGUUUGUCAUGUGCAGCCCUUUGUGCACGGUGUAUAUUUGCUGAGUCACACUCCUUGGCAUUGGAAUGCAAAGUGGGUGGUAAGUUUCAUGUAAAGGUAAACAUGCAAUUGAGACUGAUAGCACACAAGUACCAUGAGGGAAAUAUGAAAAGGACUUUGAAAAGAGAAUUAAAUGAGUUUGUAUUUGCUGAACACAAAGUAAACAGACUUGAUUUGCUUGGUGGGAGUGUUGCACUUGCUUGACAAGAGCUUUGGGCUGUGGGUGUAAUGAUUCUUUCUUUGCAUGCCAGUUUCUAUUUGUACAUCUGAUUACCUUUGCACAUGAAUGAUAAGUCUCCUGUGGGGGGUGGAUUGCAUGUGCAUGUAAUGAUUUGUGUUUUGAUAAAUGUGUCUGGUGUAUGUGUGUGUUCCUGUGCUUGGGGAUGCUUCCUUCCUUGGACUUACAAGCCCUGACACACACAUGCUGGCAAAAUGCUUCUGCUUGACCCG